UAAAAAUUUUAUCAAUCCUUUUAUUCAUAAUGUAAAAACAUUAAAGGUUUCAAAGACAGCAAUUAAAUGGACUGUACGCUAAAAUACCCAUGCCUGAUUCACAACGGUACCUUUAUAAGUUUAUUCUGAUUAAACAGACAAUCAGGCAUAUACCAUCUUUGAGGGUCACUUGUAAUUACGGGCGCUUACACAUCCUUUAAAAUAGUUUUUUUGACCAUAAACCUGUCUCCAACCCCCACCCUGGCGUAAUGUCGUCUUUGCCAGACCCAAAUCCAAACAAACAAUUUCUCUGACUCUACCUCUCUACCCAGACAAAGGAAAAUCGAAACAGUGAAAUGUUUUACUAAAAGAUCAAAUCCAUAAUAACUUUGCAAUCCAUAAUGAAUUCUAUUUAAAAAACCGGGUUCAUAUUUUCAGAAGUGUUAAAAAUGUUUAAAACUAUUCCAUCAAACCCUCCGAUCCUUAAUCACUCCUUUUCACCACGACACAAAAAACUAGUUCACCCUCAUAAAAGAGGCGAUCUUAUGGUGACAAGAAACCCUCUAAUAAAGCAACCUGAAGGAUACAGGGAGAACCAGACAACUCAAAACAGGAAGACGACUUUUAGAGUUAAGUUAUGAAUUUAAAUAUUCCAAUUUGCAUGAGAAAUAGUAGAGGUGCAGUGUAAACAGACCCAUUUUACUGAAUAAAUAAAUAAAUAAGUCAACUUACUCUAUAACUAUUUGAUUAAGUCACUUUACUCUAUAUAACUAUUUGAUUAAGUCACUUUACUCUAUAUAACUAUUUGAUUAAGUCACUUUACCCUAUUUAACUAUUUAAGUUGUAACGACAUCAAAUAAAAACUUUAGCAUCGCUUUAAUGCCGUCUCCCUGUUCCACAAUUUUAAGGUUCUCAUUGUACAAGAACUUUUAUAAAGA